GCCUCGGUGGUGUAAUGGUAGCACGCACUCUCGGUACGGAUUAAACGCGGGUUCGACUCCCGUUUGAGGUC